GCUCUCUUAGUUCAAUUGGAUAGAGCGUCAGAUUUCGAAUCUGAAAGUUGGGGGUUCGACUCCCUCAGAGAGCGCCA
rnacentral:tRNA from 1 species